AGCUUGAUUGCAAGACAUACAGGUCGAGCAAGGAUGAAAAUCGGACUUAGUGAUCCGGUGGUUCUGCGUGGAAGGGCCAUCGCUCAACGGAUAAAAGCUACCCUGGGGAUAACAGGCUUAUCUCCCCCAAGAGUCCACAUCGACGGGGAGGUUUGGCACCUCGAUGUCGGCUCAUCACAUCCUGGGGCUGUAGUAGGUCCCAAGGGUUGGGCUGUUCGCCCAUUAAAGUGGUACGCGAGCUGGGUUCAGAACGUCGUGAGACAGUUCGGUCCCUAUCCGUCGCAGGCGUAGGAAAUUUGAGAAGACCUGUCCUUAGUACGGGAGGACCGGGAUGGACGUACCUCUGGUGUACCAGUUGUCCUGCCAAGGGCAUGGCUGGGUAGCUA
rnacentral:rRNA from 1 species